rnacentral:rRNA from 1 species
UACGAAGGGGGCUAGCGUUGCUCGGAAUCACUGGGCGUAAAGCGCACGUAGGCGGCUUUCUAAGUCAGGGGUGAAAUCCUGGAGCUCAACUCCAGAACUGCCUUUGAUACUGGAGAGCUUGAGUCCGGGAGAGGUGAGUGGAACUCCGAGUGUAGAGGUGAAAUUCGUAGAUAUUCGGAAGAACACCAGUGGCGAAGGCGGCUCACUGGCCCGGUACUGACGCUGAUGGUGCGAAAAGCGGUGGGGAGCAAACAGG